GAUGAAGAACGUAGCGAAAUGCGAUACUUGGUGUGAAUUGCAGAAUCCCGUGAACCAUCGAGUCUUUGAACGCAAGUUGCGCCUCAAGCCAUUAGGUUGAGGGCACGUCUGCCUGGGCGUCACAUAUCGUUGCCUGAUGCCAGUUUCCUCGUGAUGGGUGACUGUGCAGGGCGAAUGAUGGCUUCCCGUGAGCAUUGUUGCCUCAUGGUUGGUUGAAAAUUGAGUCCUUGGUAGGGAGCGCCGUGAUAGAUGGUGGUUGAGUGACGAACGAGACCCCAUCAUGUGAGACCCCUACCGAAUUUGGCCUUCAUGACCCACAUGCGUCAUUGGAACGCUCAUGACGAGACCUCAGGUCAGGCGGGGCUACCCGCUGAGUUUAAGCAUAUCAAUAAGCGGAGGA
rnacentral:misc_RNA from 1 species